CCUCCACGCUUUUUGUAAGGUUUGUCCCAUUGAUUUGAAUGUAGCACACGGCGGUAAAAAUGACCCAGCACAUUAAAACACAGCGGCACCAUCGCGCAGAAGAGGCACACAAGCUUAGGGCACGCAGGCGAUUUCAUCAUGAAAGGACAGACAGAGGCGUGACGCAAGCUGAACUCAAGAUGGCAAUGUUGGUAGCACAGAAACAUUUUCCUUUUGCGUUUUGUGACUUCACUGCGAGUGUGGCAGGCAUGUUCCCUGAUUCUGCCACCGCCAGGAACCACUCACCUCAUCAAGGCACCAACCCGCCAAAGCACUGAAUCUACAAGACCACUCCAGUUGGGCCUCCCGAGUGGUGCAGUGGUCUAUGCACUUGCCUGGAACGUCUUAUUGCGUUGCUAUUGCAAGCGUUGCUGAAAGAACCAUGAAGGGGUGCACCUGGUCUGCAACAUUGUUUAGAGUCAAAAUACUGAAUCUACAAGACCACUCCAGUUGGGCCUCCCGAGUGGUGCAGUGGUCUAUGCACUUGCCUGGAACGUCUUAUUGCGUUGCUAUUGCAAGCGUUGCUGAAAGAACCAUGAAGGGGUGCACCUGGUCUGCAACAUUGUUUAGGUACUUGUCGGUCAUCAGAUUUGUCAUCAAUAUCGACACGUUGAUGCUGAUGAUUCCUGAACUGCUCAAAGUUCAGCGGUAUGUGCUCACCUACAGGUUCAG